rnacentral:lncRNA from 1 species
GCAAAAGGGUUAUAAAUAAAUGUAUCUAUGUCUACAGAAUCUUUCUGCUGUAGCUGUUUUAAAGACGAAAUAUCUGUCCGGUUUAGUGAUUUAAAAAGAAUUUGGUGUAGCGCUAUCUUCACUGCCCCUGAUUUGAGCGAGUUUCUGCAGAAAAACAUGCCCAUCCAUCCCAUUAAAUAUCAUCUUGUAUUAACUUAUAUUUCGUUUUAUUCCAAGAUUUAUUUAAUUCUAUUAAAAAAUAUCACGCCAUAUAAAUAUGUAUUAUUUUUACAUAUAAGAACUUUAGAUAUACAAAAUAUGCCGUAUUGUUUUGAAUAUUAAAUUGUAAGUAGAAAAUAUUUAUCAAAUUACACUUCUAUGAAAGUGAUUUGA